rnacentral:lncRNA from 1 species
UAAACUCCAUACCAUGCCUCAGGGGGAGGGGAUGCCUCAGCGGGGGCCUGUGGAGGCAGCCCUUCCACCUCACCCACCAUACAGCGCCUCUACCAACACGGGUGCUGUGCCUGGGAUUUAGAAACUCACAGGUUGCAUGAGCUCAUAUUUCCGUGCUGCCACAUGGACUUUGCAGCCAUGGGAUGGAUCUCUUGCUAGACCUCUCCACCCAAGCACUGGAGAAUUGGUAAAGCUCCCUACUCUCACUGGUCAGCAUAAACGCCCUCUGGUCCCAAGGGAGGGCUGUUGAGCUUGCAGCCACCCCGUGGUGUCCUGGUCUUCUUACUGAUGCUUCGUUCUCGGACCUCUACCCCUGGGUCUCCGAAGAAGAUAUGGGCACAGUGACAAGAUUCUACCUGGACUGUGGUGGCUCCACAGACCCUGGACAGCAAGGAAACAGCAACUCUCCUACAUGUGGACCAACAUCCCCAUGCCCAUUUUCUUAGGUUUCCCAGAGACACAGCGCUCCAAAGUCAGCAGGAAACAACUAAAGAUCACUAUGCCCCUAAUCCUGCUUCACCAUCAUCUCUAGUUUUUCCUUUUUUUUUUUUAAUGAAACCAAAAUGGAAGAAUGUUAGCAUUCUGUCUAGGCUCCUCCCAGCAGUUACCUGGCAACAGCCAUGUAUGCCUGAUUCACUAUAAACGGAGCUGCUUGCCCCCUCCUCACUCUCUUAUCCUCUUACUCUCUGCCCCUUCUCCCUCUCUCCCCCUCCCCUUCCCCCUCUCCCUCUCUGCCUUUCUCUCUCUCUACCCCCUCAGCUCCCCUCCCCAUGCCCUAAAUAAACUCUAUAC